ACUCCUGCGGUCCUCUAUCGGUGGGAACUGUGGGUCUCCAUGGCAUCUCCUUGGAGACUCUGACGUCAAUGGCCUGGAAUAUUCCCAGAUCCAGUUCCAGAACCCAGUUCCUUUGAAGUUUGAAGGAGAAGCAAAGCGUCUUGCUGGAAGAGAUGCUGUGCAAACCUUCCACUGUGUUGCAGAACCAUCGCGAGCCUUCCACUGUGUUACAAAACCAUCGCGAGCCUUCCACUGUGUUACAGAACCAUCGCGAGCCUUCCACUGUGUUGCAGAACCAUCGCGAGCCUUCCACUGUGUUUCAGAACCAUCGCAAGCCUUCCCGCAGAGCAGUGCAAGCAUUCUCUAGCCAUGGAAGGAUAGAGCUGGAUCAUCCGACACCGUGCAGGCUGCAAAAGCUAUUGUAAGUUAAAACCGUACCUAGUACCUCUGUAGCUUGUUUUGCAAUUGUUGCAGCUAGCUAGCUAUAGAUAGAUUGUUCACUCUGGCGUUUGAGCGUAUCCGUGUUGCGCACUGUUUGUUGAGCAUGGAAGGUUUCUGGUUGGAUUAUUUUGCUCUUGUAUUCCUAGUGUUUUAAGUGUGGCCCCUUCUUGACUGUGAGGUGUGUAGGUCAUGCAGCUUAAUAGAUACAUACUUGCCAGCAAGCGUACGUUAAAUGCAUGUGUGCAUGGCUAAACUCGUGUCGACAACGCUUUUUGUUCUGUUAAUAUACGCGUGGCUAAGAGUCUAUUACCUACAUGGCCUUGAACCCUUUGGUGGGGGAGGGUGGUGUCCGUAGCACUCAAGUAAUCAUUCAGAAUGUGUGUGGAAGGUUCUUCAACAGUCGGGUUGCAGGAGAGCAUCUUCUUAUUUUUGAAACUGUUGUCGAACCAGCCUUCGGGGUGCAAUGAUGGAUACUCAUGGCAUCCCAGUCUAUUGAGGGAGCACUCUGCUGUUAGUACCUGCCUAAAGGGAAAGCAGCACAGGAUCCUGCCAUAAUUGGGAGUGCUAAGAUCUCGUUAUCAGUUCCAAUAGUUAGUUAGCUAGGAUCAUUAGAAUAGCUAGCUAUAAUAUAGUUAGACAACUGCUUCUUGGCUUAUGCUAAUCUAUUAUGACAGCUUUUUUAGGAUCUUAACUCUGUGCCUCCUGCACAUGGAAUUGGUAAGUUCAGGCUUUAACUAAACCCUAGGUGUGCCAAGGGAACUAUAGCCUUUGACUGGAUUAGUGAAGAGUAGUCUUGAGCACUUGUGCAAGCCUUGCAUGCCAGGCUUGUUGCAACUGGAGUCGACAAGGGCUUCAAGAGCAAGGAGGUGUUGUCUCUGUGAGUCUACUGUUGUUGAACCAUCCCACACAUUCUGGUUGAUUACUUCUGUGCUCAGUUAAUGGUACUCACAUGCAGUCACAGGGUCCCUUUAGUUUAUUAUGCCCUUAUUGUAUUAGUCCCUUGAGCAAGGAAACUACUGGUGAGAAUGUUCUCAAUGGUGGUAAGAAUGUUGUCAGUUCUGGUGGUGUUUGGUUCGUUUCUACAGUUGUGGAGAUUUGUUGAUGAUCGGUUUUGUUUGAACUGCUGCGCUCAAUGUAACCAUGCAUUUUGCUUGUUCUCUUGCAGCCACAAUGCACACAACACAGCUCCUACUAGCUAAUGUACUAGUGUUCCAUUCUCUCACUGCUUUUGUCUCCUCUCUCCCCCAGGUACAGACAAGUCAUGUUGCUCUUGGGACUGAGGGAGGAUUACAAUGACUGCAUGUUUGUAUCAUUAUUUUUAUUGCAGAUACUGAAGGGGUGGGGCUUAAUUGUACACCCCCACAUCUCUUGUCUUAGGGGAGGGGCUCGAUAUCAUUGCCCACUACUAUCAUUGCACGUGUUUAGUUUCCAUUAUGGCUAUGUAGUGCGGUAUACAUCCUGUGUAGGUGGAUUGUCACUGCAUAGAGAAAAGAUAAGUAUAAUAAUUAUAAUUAUGGCUACAUGUACCAUACAACUUUGCUCUCUGUGCAGGUUGAUUGUGUGUGGAGGAGCCACUGUAACAGCAUACACACAGAUGAGUAGCUAGCUAUGUUGUGUGGCAAGUCUUUCAUGCUCUCUGUGUAGGUUGAUUGCAUGUGGAGGAGCCACUGUAACAGCAUACACACAGAUGACUAGCUAGCUAUGUUGUGUGGCAAGUCUUUCAUGCUCUCUGUGUAGAUUGAUUGCAUGUGGAGGAGCCACUGUAACAGCAUACACACAGAUGAGUAGCUAGCUAUGUUGUGUGGCAAGUCUUUCAUACUCUCUGUGUAGGUUGAUUGCAUGUGGAGGAGCCACUGUAACAGCAUACACACAGAUGAGUAGCUAGCUAUGUUGUGUGGCAAGUCUUUCAUACUCUCUGUGUAGGUUGAUUGCAUGUGGAGGAGCCACUGUAACAGCAUACACACAGAUGAGUAGCUAGCUAUGUUGUGUGGCAAGUCUUUCAUACUCUCUGUGUAGGUUGAUUGCGUGUGGAGGAGCCACUGUAACAGCAUACAGAUGAGUAGCUAGCUAUGUUGUGUGACAAGUCUUUUAUGCUCCCCUGUGUAGGUUUGAUUGUGUGUGGAGGAGCCACUGUAACAGCAUACACACAGAUGAGUAGCUAGCUAUGUUGUGUGACAAGUCUUUCAUGCUCUCUGUGUAGGUUGAUUGUGUGUGGAGGAGCCACUGUAACAGCAUACACACAGAGGAGUAGCUAGCUAUGUUGUGUGGCAAGUCUUUCAUGCUCUCUGUGUGCAGGUUGAUUGCGUGUGGAGGAGCCACUGUAACAGCAUACACACAGAUGAGCAGCUAGCUAUGUUGUAUGGCAAGUCUUUCAUGCUCUCUGUGUAGGUUGAUGCUGAGUAUGCUCAAGGCAAUGGUUCUGGCAGUAACAAACAGUUAACUCUGAUGCACAGCAAUCAAUAUCAUUGUAACAAGUCAUUCAUACUUCAAUCAUUAAACUAUUUUUGUAAUCUUAGAAAUUGUAAUUCAGUACAGAAACUGUUAUCAAUCCUUCAAAGUUUGUCGUUUAAAUUCUUGUCCUGUGACACUUAAUUAACAUUGAGACAAUCAA